AUGUACAGGGAGUCCAUUUUGAAUGACAAGAUUUCAGACCAAUUGUUAGAGUCUCUACUCAUAACAUUCUCUGAAUGGGUCAAGUAAAACAUCAUUUACAAUGAUGUAAGGUGCACUGCCAUUCAUAAUGACAAAUCCAUAUUUUGGAUGGUACAUUACACACUCAAAUUGACCUUUUGGUGAGAAGGUAUGUAUCAUGAUCGUGCCUCAUCACUGGAUAUAUCUGGUUGAGGAUUAACUUGUGGAUACUCUACAGGUUA
rnacentral:lncRNA from 1 species